CGAGAAAGCCCGCAAGGGUGAGUAAAGCGGCGCACGGGUGCGUAACACGUGGGUAAUCUGCCCUAGAGUCUGGAAUAACUCGCCGAAAGGCGUGCUAAUGCCGGAUGAGACCACGGGAGCCUCGGCUCCUGCGGGAAAAGGUGGCCUCUGUAUACAAGCUAUCGCUCUAGGAUGAGCCCGCGGCCCAUCAGCUAGUUGGCGGGGUAAUGGCCUACCAAGGCUACGACGGGUAGCUGGUCUGAGAGGACGAUCAGCCACACUGGAACUGAGACACGGUCCAGACUCCUACGGGAGGCAGCAGUGGGGAAUCUUGCGCAAUGGGCGAAAGCCUGACGCAGCAACGCCGCGUGUGUGAUGAAGGUCUUCGGAUCGUAAAGCACUGUCGCGAGGGACG
rnacentral:rRNA from 1 species